GACGAACGCUGGCGGCGUGCUUAACACAUGCAAGUCGAACGGAAAGGCCCUGCUUUUGUGGGGUGCUCGAGUGGCGAACGGGUGAGUAACACGUGAGUAACCUGUCCCUGACUUUGGGAUAACUUCAGGAAACAGGGGCUAUUACCGGAUAGGAGCUCCUGCUGCAUGGUGGGGGUUGGUGAGUUUCGGCGGUUGGGGGUGGACUCGCGGCAUCUCGGCUUGUUGGUGGGGUUGGGGCUUACCAAGGCUUUGACGCGUAGCCGGCCUGAGAGGGUGACCGGCCACAUUGCGACUGAGAUACGGCCCAGACUCCAACGGGAGGCAACGGUGGAGAGUAGUGCACAAUGGGCUGAGGCAUGAUGCAGCGCCGCCGCGUGCGGGAUAGGAGCCUUCGGGUUGGAAUCCAAUAUCGUUUGUGACGGGGCGUGAGUGACGGUAACGGGUAAAGAAGCACCGGCUAACUACGUG
rnacentral:rRNA from 1 species